CUUUCUUUUCUCCUCAUUGACAACAACAUAGACGAAUGACAUAAUGAACAACUUUGAACGCGGUCCGCCGAACAGGAACAAAAACAUAGGCAAGUGUUAAACACCUUUGGGAGCAAGGAUUUUCCUUCUUGUGCAGGAUGAAGAGCUGACAAUUUAGGACUUUGUUAUUACUCAUGGACAUUCUCUUUUUUGAUGAUUGGUGCAAGGAAAUGAGCCUGAUUCCUUACAAGUUAGAAAUUUGUUACAUUUGAAAUACGCAGUGGCCGACGAUGAGUUGCAACGUUUAACCUUGCCUACAAAAAGAUUUGACUGGAAAUCUCCUGACAAGGUGAUGCCUUACCGAUAUCCACCUUCAUCACAGUAUCUAAUGGGUUUUCAAAACGACACAUAAUUUGAGUCUCUAGGCUGUAAAUCUUAAUCCUAUUUUAAACAAGUGUACAAUUCAUGUAAUUAUAAUUAGUAUAUUAAUAAGUGACACGCAUUAAAUAUUGGUACUGAAAAUGCAGUGUGUUAUAAGUUAAUUGUAAUAGUUUACUUUAAUUUACA